CCUUCACACACAAUAUCACACCUCCCUUUCCCUACCAUUUACUCACACUCUCUCAUCAUCACCAUCAUCUUCUUCUUAUUAUUAUUUUUAAGGGUUUGAAGAUUCACCCAUGGCCUAACAUGGUGGUUGUAGAAAUGAUGGUAUGGAGCCAAGGAUGACAUGUCUAUGGCAAUCGUCUGUCCAUUGGAACAUAGUGGACAGUCGACAUGCAUGCAUUGACAUGUCCUCUUUGGCUGCAUUCUUUUCUUUCUGCAUGUCAUGCUAGGCUGUUUAUGCUUAAAAUGGAUCUGUUAGUCACUUCCGAACAGUGGAUCAAGAUUAUUUUUCCAGGAUGUGCAUCAAAUGGACUGAACCCGGUUUUUUUUUCUAAAAAAAAAAAAAUCAAAAGUCAAAACUAAAGACUGGACCGAUAUAGGGUGAUUCGGUCUCUGACUUUUUAGGUUUUGCCAUGACCGAAUAUGAAUUUUGUAUGCUAAGAUGUUUCAUACAUUCUCAAUACCAUACCAAAAAAAUAUAGCUAUAAUGUAUCCA